AAUGCUAGACUAUAUAGUUAAGAAUAACUUAGGGAAUAUUCUUGUAGUUCGUUCUAAUACCAUGCUAAUGACUUUCUAGAGUAUCUAAUUGAGGUGCUUAUCAUAUUUAUUAUGUGGCUAAGUUAUGAUCAGAUAAAUUAUCCUUGUCACUAUUCAUUAUUUCAUAUAUCCUUUAUGUGACACUUACCCCUGUAUGAAGAGUUAGAUAAAUGUUCUCAAUUAUACAUGCAAUGAUAGAUACUUAAUCUCAUAUUCUAUUCUGUAAUCAAUAUUGAUGAUUGUUAAUCCCUUCCCAGUGGUAAAAAUAUAAAUAACGAUACCUAGAAUACUUCCCGGUUAAAAUGCUACAUCGGUAUUAAUCUGUGCGCUUGCAGAUCUCAUUCAUUAUUUAUUUAGAAGAGCAAUGGCAUAUUUCAAUACCGCGUCUCUCAUGUCAUGCUGGGAUGACAACUUGGCUUAAGUGGUGUGAGAGAUAGGUUUGACAUUUUUGGCACCGUUACUAGAUUUAGAGAACUUAGUCUACUUUUGGUAAUGAUGUUAAGAAUACCCAACAACCAUCUCGGUUAAUCCAUUAACCGAGGUGGAUGACUUAGAGCGCCCACCUCAAUUAACCGACAAAAAAAAAACCCUGAGCCCACUGGCAAGCAUAUUCUCGUGCUCACCGGUGAUCCUAUUCUCAGCCUGCUAGUCAGAUUUGACCCCUCCAUCAUCUGUCAUGCUGCACGCCACCGUCACUAGAUCUGCGUGCGGCUGGCCUCCUCGUCACCAGAUCUGCGUUGGUGGUUGUCGGAUCCGUCAUUCAUGGAGCACCCCGACCCUGAGGAGCUCCACCAUUUUGGUGAACCUAGAUUUGGUGGAUUUGCACUAUUUGGCAACUAUGAAGUUGAAAAUAGUGAAUCUGGAGCUGCUGAAUCCCUACGAGACAAGCCCUAAGUAAAAACUAUGCCACACUUGAAGAGGCAAAAGUUGAAGCCUAUUUUGGAGGCAUCAAGCUAGCAAUGGAAUGGAUAAUAAAACCAACUAUAGUUGAGUUAGAUUGCCAAUGCUUAGUGGAGGCUCUUAAAACAUCUACGGAGGAUAGGUCAAGAUACUCAUAUUGUGAAGGCGAUUAAACAUGCUAGGAGGAUGUGGUUCCAGAUGCACGGUUUAGUAAAAUUGGGAGAGUGCAAUAGAGUAGCUCACGAAUUAGCUCAAUUAGCAAGACACACAAUACAUUGUGUGCUAUCUGGAGAGACAACAUUCCUUUUUGUAUUAGUGAGCGCUUGAAACUGUGAUCAAUGAAUGCACUUUUUCUCUUGUAAAAAGAUAUUAAUGUUCACAAUAUCAAAUAAGUAGUAUUAGAUUACUCAUGCCAUAUAUUUCCAUAGUAAAUUGAUUUAGAGAUAAAAAUGGUGAUGGUGUUGUUUUAUAAAUCUAAUUAAACUCAAAAUUAGUUGACUUUUCAAUUAUUUUAGGACGGAGGAUGGACUUAUAUUUCACAAGUCAAACUAAACGUUAGUUUAUCAGUUAUCUAGACUACGCUAAAAUUUGCGGGAGUAUAAUGUAGAUGAGUUAGAAAUUACAGGGGUAUAUAUAGCUCAUCAUAGCUGAAUCUGAAUUUGAAUCUGAAUACGAGUGGGCUGAAUCUUGCAGUCCACCCACCAAUUUAUAAGUUCUACUCCCUCCGUCAUAUAUAUAUAUAAGGCGUAACCACUUUUUGUUCAUGUCUCAUAAUAUAAGGCGUGCUCUCUCACAAACAUUAAUGUAGUAGUACUAGUGCUGAGAAAGAGAAUUAUGUGUUCUUGGUCUUUGAACCAGAGGUGGUUAUAUUACGUCUUAUAUACUGGGACACAGGGAACAAUUCAUUCAUCACCACGUAUUUUCAUAUGGGACACAGGGAACAAUUCAUUCAUCACCACAUAUUUUCAUAAAUAAAUGUAUGCACAUAUAUUUUUUCAUCACCAAAUAUAAUGUAGUUACCAUGUUAUUAUUAGUACGUACACACAACUUUGUUUUUUAGUUUCCUGGCUCUUCUGUUUUCUCGCUUUUUUUCCCUCCGUGCAUGCAAGUGUGGGAAACGUGGAGAUAAUGGGAAAUUAGUUUCUACAUUUGGAUAGAGACAUGGGACCCUCAAUAGGACAAGGAGAUAACUAAUCCAGUCAUCUUUACGUGUAAAAAAGGAAGUGGGAUAUAUACUGGGAUGCGAGAGAGACAAGGAUGACUCUCACACAUGUAUAAGAGGGAAGAUAAAGAUACAACAUGCAAAAAGUGUGAGGUUUUGGACAUAAAACAAAUAUAUCUUAUGAAAAUAUAUUUUAUGAUAAAUGAUACUAAUUUGGUACUAUAAAUAUUAGUUUUUUAAAAAAAUUUGGUUAAAAUUUUAAAAGUUUAAGUUAAAACAACUUUAAGAAUUAAAACUUUUAAAACAACUUUAAGAACUGAAACUUUUAGGGACAGAGGGUGCGAGGUUUUGAACACAUUUUAGCGUUCAUUUGGCCAUCCAACUUUCCACAACGAUCCACAAGCCACAUAUAUAUACCGUACUUUCCCGAAUAAUGUGUAGCCAAAACGUACAUGUUCUCUAGUUCUAUAUAAAGCAGACAAAGGGCUAGCCACAUCUUUCAUAGCACAGCAGGAAGGCAGAAGCUAGAACACACACACACCCCACACCUGAACCUCGAUCACUUGGGUAGCUAGCAUUAGCAACCAUGAGUCGCCUGGAGGAAGUGGCAUACCAACUCUCUUCACCAUUAGUUCAGGUACAAUGGCUCUUAUUGCUCCUCGUUCCUCUCCUGCUCCGGCUGCACUACUACUACGCCUCCCGUCGACGGUCAAGCCGCCGUCAUGGCAGCAACUGCAGCGACGACAAGCAGCCGCAGCUGCAGCUUCCGCCGUCGCCUCCAGGGCUGCUGCCCAUCAUCGGCCACCUUCACCUCAUCGGCGACCUCCCGCACGUCUCCCUCUGUGACCUCGCCGCCAAGCAUGCCGCCGGCGGCGACGGCCUCAUGCUCCUCCACCUCGGCGCCGUCCCCACUCUCAUCGUGUCAACCCCGCAGGCUGCAAACGCAAUCAUGCGUACGCACGACCAUGUGUUCGCGUCGCGUCCUGCGUCCACGGCCACCGACGACCUCAUGUACGGCUCCACCGACAUCGCCUUCUCCCCCUACGGCGAGCACUGGCGGCAGGCCAGAAAGCUGGUCACCUCGCACCUAUUCACCGUCAAGAAAGUGCAAUCGUACCGCAGCGCCCGCAAAGAAGAGGUGCGCCUGGUGCUGGCCAAGCUACACGAGGCGGCGGCGGCGGCGGGCACGGCCGUGGACAUGAGCACGAUGAUGAACACGUUCGCCAACGACAUCGUGAGCCGCGCCGUGUCGGGCAAGUUCUUCCGAGCAGAAGGCCGGAACAAGCUCUUCCGGGAGCUGGUGGAGGCCAACUCUGCUCUGUUUGGAGGGUUCAACCUAGAAGACUACUUCCCAGGACUGGCGAGGUCGUUAGGUUUCCUUAGCAGAAGGUUUCUGCACAACAGGGCACAGGAGACGCACAAGAGAUGGGACGAGCUGCUUGAAACCAUACUGAGCGACCACGAGAGAAGAAACUCCUCUCUGCAUCGGCAUCGCCAUGAUGACCAUGACGACGGAGAAGGUGACUUCACCGAUGUGUUGCUCUCGGUUCAGAAAGGGUAUGGUAUGACCAGAGACCAUGUUAAGGCCAUCUUGGUGGUGAGUAGUACAGUACAUACCGUACCGUAAUCGAUCCUAUAUAUAUAUAUAUAACUCAUCCGUAUCCCCCCAGGACAUGUUCAGUGCGGGCACAGACACGUCAUCCUUGGUCCUAGAGCUGGCCAUGGCCGAGCUGAUGCGCAAUCCACAGCAGAAGGCCAAGCUACAAGGUGAAGUUCGGAAGCACACACCAGAGGGACAAGAAACGGUGGAGGAAGAGGACAUAGCUAACAUGCCCUACCUGAGAGCCGUCGUGAAGGAGACGCUGAGGCUGCAUCCGCCUGUCCCGCUCCUCCUCCCUCGCCUCUCCAUGGCAGACUGCAUCGUCCAAGGCUACUACGUUCCCUCCGGCACCCGGGUCAUCGUCAACGCGUGGGCUCUUGGCAGAGAUCCAGAGUCAUGGCAGGAGAAGCCAGAGGAGUUCAUGCCGGAGAGGUUCAUGGACGGUGGUAGCGCUGCCGGCGUCGACUUCAAAGGGAACCACUUCCAGUUCCUGCCAUUUGGAGCUGGACGAAGGAUUUGCCCUGGCCUCAACUUUGGGAUGGCUACUGUUGAGAUCAUGUUAGCAAACCUCAUGUACUGCUUUGACUGGCAGCUGCCCAGCGCCAUGGAGGAGAAGGGUGUUGACAUGACAGAAGUGUUUGGACUCACGGUGCAUCCAAAGGAAAAGCUCAUGCUUGUUCCCAAGCUUCCUGGUGCUGCUGCACCUGCAACUAGCUAGUCAUCUACUCCAUGCAAGCUGCUGAGGACACACACACAGUCCUCUGACUGUAUAUGUAUCUGAUGAGUCAUAUUGUAUACUAGAUCGAUCAGGUGGUUUGGAGUAGAAAACUACGUACACACUCUACACACGAUGGUUGGAGUUUCGACUCAAUGUAUAUUGUAUGGUUAUAAAUCGUGUACUAAUAAUAAUUCAAUCUGGAAUUUGAUAAAAAUAAAUAGGAUAAUGGUAUUUGAAGGGAAAUAAAAUCUCUGUUGUGUAUAGAUUUCUCACCUCUGACGUCCUUUCGGCCCAAUAACCUGGGCCGCUUCCUUUGGCAAACAAAAGCAGUUUUCUUUUCUUUUAUUUCUUAGUUUGUAGCUAGCACAUUAAUGCAUGACAUUCUUUUGGAGAAAAUAAUCGCUGCUGAUCCGGAUAGUGAUUGAACUCACAAAAGCAUGUUUGUUUUUCCCAAAUCAUUUUAUCGAUAGUAUGUGCCCCAAAUAUUGCCAUGGCAGAGAAAUUGAACCUCCUGUUGGAGGUUGACCGGUCAAACUACUUUAGAGAGGCCAAACCUUGGUGGACGUCGCUCAAUUAGUUUUCUGUAAAUUCAGUUAGCUAGAAAAUAUCAUUCAGUUAUUAAAAUAUCUCGGAAUCAAGGAUUUUGAUUUUGGCUUUUUCGGUUCAGUUUUAGUUAAGUGUGAAGAACUACGUGAUGUAUAACAAAGAGCAAGCAAAUCUGAACAAAAGUAAGCAAAAAAUAAAACCUGCAGCAAUUUUCCCUACACUACUAGAAUGUCCCUCUUUGCCGACUGCUUGCUUGGCAGUCGGCAAAGGCCCUAAAACAGGUAGCAAAGGCUUUGCCGACUCCUUUCCACGUGGCAGUCGGUAAAGAACACGUUGCAAAGAAUUCGUUGGCAAAGAACCCUUUGCCGCCUGCCAAGUGAAAAGCAGUCGGCAAAGCCUUUGCCACAUGUCAACAUGGCAGUCAGCAAAGGGGACGACAACCACCUUUACCACCAGCUUUUCUUUGCCACCUGCUAGGCAGUCGGCAAAGGACGUCUUUGCCGACUGCUUAGAGUGGCCGACAGCUCAGGACAUUAGGACAGUCGGCAAAGACUCCUUUUGCCGACUGCUCAGUGGGGCGGUUAGCAAAGUGUAUGUUUGCCGACUGCCCGGCCUUUGGCAGGUGGCAAAGGAUACUAGCAGUCGGCAAAGCCGAGUUUUCUUGUAGUGCUAUAUGCAUGCAUGCAACACCAUUCGCAACUAUGCGCCAAAUUCUUUGGAGCUUGGAUGGGCGACGCCUCCAAUGAACGACCACUGCUAGAUCUUCGAGGGUUAACACCGCUAUAGGCCAUUGCAUCUGCUAGAGCUUGGAGGGGUGCCUCGGCUAUGCACUCCCCAUGCAUGGCCACUGCUCGAUGGUGGGGCAAGGGAAGAGAAUAGACACAGGUGGGAAGCAAGGAAGGUAUAUAGAGACACCCUCCGAACCGGGUUGGAUAAGAAGCAGGUUUGCCAAUUAAUUGAUCGAUGGCCUAGCGGAGUCCUUGUUGAAUGUCGAAAUAAAACUCAACUUGGAGAAGUGCAUAUCUAGGGUGCCAUCAAAGAGCUACUUGGAUAUAUUGUUUUCGACGCGGCAUUGAAAGGAAAUCCAAUGGAAGUUGAUCCAAUGGAAAUCCAAUGGAAGCCAAUUUACAUCAUGAAAGUCCCCUAGAAGCUUACAUGAUGCUUAGUGGUUCUAUACCGUUUGAUCUCUAGAAUCAGUGAACGAGGUAUGAUCCUCUAUAAGUAGAUGAGAGGAGGUAGACAUCUUCUAGAACUAGCCGAUCCAAGACCUAGUGUGGCCAUGUUGAUGGAGGGGAGGGGUGGAGGGCAAAGGGCACAUGAUCAAUCAUGAUGGGAUGGGGAGCAAAGGCGGAGGAGUGGGGUGGAGAGGAGGGCAGUGAUAGAAAUGGGGUGGAGGUAUGGAGCAAAGGUGUGUGUGUGGUGGUUCUUAGAGAGAUGUGUGGUUGAUCGAAGGAGAGAGAAAACUUAGCUAUGUUUUAUAAAUGUACAUAUUUUCACUCUUGGUUUGUGGUUGGAGCCCGUGAUGAAAACCUUCAUGUUUUUCACCCCGGAUGGUUCCACUAUGAACUGGAGGUGAAAAUAUCAUUGGCAAAAAUCAUUUUUGUAGUGUACUGACCCUAAGUCAAAUUAUCUUAAGUUUGACCAACUUAAGAAACGAUAACAUCUGCGACACCAAAUAUAUAAGUACAUUAUCAAAAUAUAUUUCAUGACACAUUUAAUGAUACUAAUUUGGUAUCAUAAAUGUCGUUUUUCUUUUCUAUAAAUUUGGUCAAACUUAAAAUAGUUUGACUUAGUACAACUCUUGAAAUUAAUUUAAUUUGGGACCAACGGAAUACCUAGUUAGGAUCAUAGGCAAGUCAAUCAGAUAAACCUAUAUUAUUAUUGGAAAAAGUCUAAAUUAAUCCCCCAAGUUUGGUAUAUAUCUGGAUAACCAUCUAAACUAAUGUUUGGUUUGAUUUAUUUCCUCCAACACUUACCCAUUAACAAGUUUUUUUUCUUGUUACAAAUAAUGUUUUCAAAAUUUGUGAGGUGACAGUGGACAUCAUAUUUUACGAUAAACAUUUUUCAUUAUGUAUUUUUCAUCAUCGUGCUUCAUACAGUUCCAUAUAUCUAGUUUUAUUUUAUUAUUAGAUGUAUCAUAAACUAUCAAAAAAUAGUGGUGUAAAAUUUACGGUAUAUAUAUUUUUAUAAAUGAAUUAUGAUAGUUAUAAAAUUUUAGUUAAAACUCAACUGCUUAUAGAUGGGAAACAAAAGUAAUAAAUCUUAGUAAGGGGUAAAUUGGACCAAAUUAAAUAGUUGAAAUGAGAAACUAGUACCAAACACUAGCUUAGCAGGUUAUCUGUACAUAGAUUAAUUUAAUUAUUCUUUUCUUAUUAUUAUUUAUCUCGUUGUUACGUUCACUCCUCUUCUUAUUUACCAACACACGUGUAUAAUGUAGACAAUGAGUUAGGAAUUACACCUGCGCCACGGGCAGGGGCAGCUCAUGCUGAUUUCUGGGUACAUUGAAUCUCGCAGUGGACCCACUAAUCUUUAACUUAUCUAGUAGUACAAAUCCAACAAAUCAACAACCCAUUCUUCACCAUACCCAGUGUGUCAUUAAUUGUUGUACACACAAAUUUUGUUUUCUCCUGCUGGCUCUCUAAUUUCCUCACAAUUUUGUCUCUGUCCGUGCACUGCAUGCAAUGACACGACGGCAACGUACUAUAUAUGGAGGGAAAAUGUGGUGAACGUGAAACUAAGCCAGUUAUCGUUACGUUUAUAAAUUUGUUUGUACGGUUGGAUGAGAAGUAAGUCAGUCAUCAUAUAUAUCUUGAAUUUACGUGUAAAAAAUGAAGAGAGAGAGAGAGAGAGAGAGAGAGAGAGAGAGAGAGAGAGAGAGAGAGAGAGAUAAGGAUGGAUGACUCAGAGAAAAUCCAAAAGAGUCCAUAUGAGCUAUAGUAGCUAGCUAGCAAGAAUCAAUCCAUGCUAUGUUUCCAAAUACCAACGCAAAUAUAUAGCUGUGAGGUUUCGGACAUUGUUUGUAGUAUCUAUUUUGCCAUCCAACUUUCCACGAUCCACAAAACCACAAACUCUUUAUUAUAUAUAGAAGCCAAAGGUUUGCCAACUUUCCAAACACGAAGGCAGCAGAAACACACCAUUGCAAGCAACCCUGGCUAGUAUAGCAACCAUGUGUCACCUGCUGGAUUUGGCACACCAACUCUCGCACCCGACCUCCUCUUCUCCCUUAGUCGUCGUUCUAGCAAAAUGGCUACUAUUGCUCGUCGUUCCUCUCCUGCUCCUGCUGCACUACUACACCUCCCGGCGGUCAAGCCGCCGUCAUGGCAGCGAUGACGACAAGCAGCUGCUUCCGCCGUCGCCUCCCGGGCUGCCAAUCAUCGGCCACCUUCACCUCGUCGGAGAACUCCCUCACGUCUCCCUCCGCGACCUCGCCACAAAGCAUGCCGGCGGCGGCCUGAUGCUCCUCCGCCUUGGCUCUGUCCCCACCCUCGUCGUGACAUCUCCGCCGGCUGCGGAGGCGAUCAUGCGCACGCACGACCACGUGUUUGCGUCGCGGCCCACGUCCACUGUCAGCGACGACCUCCUGUACGGGUCCUCUGACAUCGCCUUCUCCCCCUACGGCGAGCACUGGCGGCAGGCCAGAAAGCUUGUCACCACGCACCUCUUGACCGUCAAGAAGGUGAACUCAUAUUGCCGUUCCCGCAAAGAAGAGGUCAGUGACUACUAGCUAUAUGUGUAUAUAUAUAUAUGCAACACAUACAUAAGCAAAUUAAAUCGAUCGUCCAUGCAACAAAUACUAUUUGUAUAUAUAUGCAUAUAUAGGUGAGCUUGGUGAUGGACAAGAUAAGAGAGGCAGCGACCGCGGGCACGGCCGUGGACAUGAGCACGAUGAUGAACACGUUCGCCAACGACAUCGUGAGCCGCGCCGUGUCGGGCAAGUUCUUCCGAGCAGAAGGCCGGAACAAGCUCUUCCGAGAGCUGGUGGAGGCCAACACUUCUUUGUUUGGAGGGUUCAACCUAGAAGACUACUUCCCAGUGCUGGCGAGGUCGUUAGGUUUCCUUAGCAGAAGGUUUCUGCUCAACAGGGCACAGGAGACGCACAAGAGAUGGGACGAGCUGCUUGAAACCAUACUGAGCGACCACGAGAGAAGAAACUCCUCUCUGCGUCGCCAUGACGGAGGUGACUUCACUGAUCUGUUGCUCUCGGUCCAGAAAGAGUAUGGUAUGACUAGAAAUCAUGUCAAAGCCAUCCUGAUGGUGAGUGACUAACCCAGCUCUCCACCCAUAUAUAUAUAUAUAUAUAUAUAUAUAUAUAUAUAUAUAUAUAUAUAUAUAUAUAUAUAUAUAUAUGCCCAAUCUAUGUACAUUUGUUUCCUUUGAUUUAUACAUCUUGAUGAUAUAUACGAUGACUAACAAAUAUACAUACAUAUACAGGACAUGUUUGCUGCAGGCACAGACACGUCAUCCUUGGUCCUGGAGUUCGCCAUGGCUGAGCUGAUGCGCAACCCACAGCAGAUGGCCAAGCUACAAGGAGAAGUCCGGAAGCACACACCAGAGGGGCAGAAAAUGGUGGAGGAAGAGGACCUAGCCAGCAUGCCCUACCUGAGAGCUGUCGUGAAGGAGACGCUGAGGUUGCGCGCUCCUGUCCCGCUGCUCGUCCCUCACCUCUCCAUGGCGGACUGCAUCGUCAAUGGCUACCAUGUCCCCUCUGGCACUCGGGUCAUUGUCAACGCAUGGGCGCUUGGCAGAGACCCAGAGUCAUGGGAGAAGCCGGAGGAGUUCAUGCCGGAGAGGUUCGUCGACGGUGGCAGCGCUGCUGCCGGCGUCGACUUCAAAGGGAACCACUUCCAGUUCCUGCCGUUUGGAGCUGGACGAAGGAUCUGCCCUGGCCUCAACUUUGGGAUUGCUACUGUUGAGAUCAUGCUGGCAAACCUCAUGUACUGCUUUGACUGGCAGCUCCCCAUGGGCAUGGAGGAGAAGGAUGUUGACAUGACAGAGGUGUUUGGAAUCACGGUGCAUCUUAAGGAGAGGCUCAUGCUUGUUCCCAGCCUUCCUUGUGCUGAUGCACCUGGAACUGGUCGUCAGUCGUCACUGCUCCAUGCAAGCUCGUCGCGCACAAAUGAUUUGGAGUAAAGAUCGAACUGCAGACGUUGUAGUGCACGAGCACAAUGCACACAGAUGAAGUGAACUAGCUAGCUAGCUAGAAUCUAUAUAUGGAUGGUUUGGUGCUUGGACUCAAUGUAUAUUGUAUAUGGUAAUAGUAGUGUAAUGGUAACUCUAUCUGGAAUCUGAUAAAAAUAAGUACACUGGUAUUUUGAAGGGAAAAAAAAUCUCUUUGUUGUAGAGAUUUCAUCUAAUGUUUUUGUGGAGCUGCCGGCAAGAGCUUUCCGGAGCAUUGUUCAUUGAUAAAGAAGAAGGUUACAACAAUAUUUUUUUUCGAAAGAUAAGGUUACAACAAUAUUACAACACCACAAAUCCACACAACGACAACAACCUGAACCCAUCUCUUGGUGAUGCUCUUAUACACAUAAAUUUGUUUUUUUCUUGGUCUCUAUUUCCUCACCUUUUUUUCUCUUCGUGCACUACAAUGACACGAUGGCAACUAUAUAUAUGGAGGGAAAACGUGGUCGUAUUUGUGUUUAUAAUUUUGUUUCUUCGGUUGGAUAGAGACAUGAGACGAGACCCCAUGGGUAAGGAGAGAAAUAGGUCAGUCAUCGUAUCUUUAGGUGUGAGAGAGAGAGAGAAGACAUGUAUCCAUCGGGGUGCUUGUCGCUUUUGGCCAACCUUACUAAUGCAUAGCGAUCAUACAAUGUUGUAUCGUCCAUCGGGUGUUUCAGUGAUUGUGUGUAACACCCUAAAUUUUGUUCUUUUGGAAAUAGAGUUAAAAUAAUUUAAUUUUUACAUUUUUAGUGCUCAUGAAACAUAGGAAAAUAAUAAUUUUUAUUUAAUUAAAAAUUUAUCAUAGGAUUAGAAAUAUGGUUGUGCAUUCAUGCUGGAAAUUCAUAUUUAUUGUGAUGAGUAAUUUGACCAAAGUUCAAAAUUGUUUCAAACUGAUUUGAAAAGGGUUUGGAAAUAACAGAAAAAAAAGAAAGGAGGAAGCCACUCCCUGGAAACCAGGCCGCAGCCCAGCGCCCCUCUUUCCCCCGGCCCAUUUCCUUCCCCUCUCGGCCCAGCCCUGUUUCUCCCCUUGGCCCAGCACGGCUCUUCCCCUCUCCCCUUGUUUCGGCCCAGCGUGCGGCCUAGGAGCAGGCAGCAGGCGCGCCUCCCUUCCUUGCUCCCUCUUUGGCUGACACCAUGGCCCCACCUGUCAGCAAUAUCCUCAUCUCCUACCUGGCGUCGGGGGCGAGCAGGACUCUGCUCCUGCUCCGACCCAAAACACCGAGAUCCGCUUCAAAUCUUUCGCGGAUUUUGGUUCUAUAAAAGGGAUCGGGAAUCGCACCGCCUUCCUUUCCUCCCUGUUUGCAUGGACGCGAGCUCCAUCCUGCCCUAUCCUAACUUGCAAGCGCCGCCGCCAUCCUGCAGUUUGACACCAAGCGCGGAUCAACGUUUCCUCCACGGUUGUGCCUCCGUAAGCUUGAUGCCGGGCCGCGUACCGAACUUGCGAAGUCGCCCACACUCCUCUUUCUAUUUUUCGUGCUCUACGUACCCGGCUAACCUUCGCCGAACUGCGCAGGAGGCCCGCCGUCCGCCAUCCGCGUGGUUCACCCGACCCCGAGCUCUCUCUGCCGCAAGGAAACCCCUGGGUGAGUUCCCCUAGCUCUCCUCUUGCUCCCUGUGCAAUUAGUUCUUCAAAACGUGCCCUAAAUCGCCGUAUCGGUGAACUCCGGCGAGGAGCAAGGCCCUCCGGCCAUGGCGCCGCCGCCCGGGCACUGUUCCGGCCGGCAGCAGCCAUCUCCUCUCUCCCUUGAUCGAUUUUGCACCGUCCAGAUCGAGAUCAAGGGUCCACAAUAGAAGAUACCCCUUCGGGGUAAAAUUUUCUAAAGAGACCCUGCCUUUUUCUGUAUUAGAACCCGCGCUCCAUAACGUGUUUUAGAAAAUACGCAAUCUGACUUUGAAAGCGUAAUCCACCUCGGGUUGAUUCAAAGUACGUUUUCAAUAAUUACAAGUUUGCCACUGAAACUGUUUUGGCCAUAAAAUAUUCAUUUAAAUUCCGUUUUGACCCAUUCAAAUUGCGUUGGAUUCGUAAUAAUGAGCUCUACAUGUUAGUAAACUUAAUUCACCAGUUUGAAACUUUGUAAUUUUGUGGCUUUAAUUAAUUAAUUAAUUACUUUUCUAUAUAAAAUCUUAGAAAAUUCAUAACUUCUCCGUUUCAACUCCGAUUUUCGUGAUCUUUACGUCUAUGAAAUCGUAGCGAUGCGUAGAAUCAUUUUAUAAACUUUUCAUAGUAUUUUCAUAUGAUUGGUGUACUGUUCUAAUUGUAGCCUUGUUUGCUUCGUGUAUGUUUGUUGUCGUAUGUUUGUGAUCGAUGAUCGGAAUUAGUCGUUGAGCAAUUCGUGGUGAUCAAGAGUGCUUCAGUGAUCAAGAUCAGAGCCUUGGACAACUAGCAAUAUCGGCAAGAGCUAUUGGAUCGAGGCAAGUAUAGCAUUUGGAUUUUAUUUCUGUGACCAUGAUCUUGUGACUAGAUUAAUGUUAAGUAAUAAAUGACAAAAAUGACUUUUAGCCACUUGAUGAUUUAUCUGUAAGUGAUAACCGGGACAACAGUGCAACCAUGAGGGCUAUAAUGGCUCUGGCUUUAGUUAAGUAUGAGUAACUUUUCUAGCUCGUUAGCGGUUACCUGUUGUGGCGCAAUUGGGGAAUAGCAGACCGUGGAUUCCUGCGGGUGAAUCACAUGGACUGACUAAUGAAACCAAGCGGCCCUAACUUGUUAGACGAACCUUUGAAAGACUUCAUAGUCAUCCCUGCCGACCUCCCUAGGAAGGGGGUUAAGAGAUUAGCUACCUCGGGCGAAAGGGUAAAUCAUGACUCAUGGGUAAAGAUGUGCAACCUCUGCAGAGGGUUAAAAACUAGUAUACUAGCCGAACUCACGGUCAGGAGCGGCCUUGGGGAUUCUUGCUACGACGAUGAUGAUUCUUGUGUGUUAGAUAUGCUCAUUAUUUAUUAUUUAAUGCUCUACAUUAUUUAUGUCACAUUGAUCAUGAGAUUGUGGGAGCUAUACAAUCUAGUUGCUAUAUAUACUUGUGGAGUUCGACAUGGACUCACUCUUGCUAUUUACCCCACCCUCCAGGAGAAGUUUAGGCUUGUGAUCAACCAGUCAGUUGGAUCCUGUAGAGUGAAGUUAAUACCCGAAGUUGGAGUUAUUUAUCCGCUGUUGCUAUCAAAGGUUGUCUCUUUUAUACUAAGUACGUUAUAUAUAUUUUUGCAUUGUCUUUUGAUAUUACCCCUUAUUUGUAGCUAUAUGUGAGAUUUGGUUUCUAAAACUCACAUAUGGUGCAUAUCUGGUUUUGUCCUUAAAAUUGGGUAUUACAUUGUGAGAGCUUUAGGAAAUCAUGGGGCAACAAGAAAAAUAUCAAGAUGCAGAUAUUUUUUCGAAAGAUCUCAAUGUUAGAUGAUGUAUUAGUUAUCAACGUAUCUGGUACAUGAAUGUACCUAGACGUGUAUUGUACACCAUGCCGUGUAUAGAGUACAUCUCAUCUAGAGUUUGUUGUAACAACCUUACUCUGUAUGUGCGCCAAGCUGGGGGCUCUUCCCUGCCAUAUAUAACAGGCAGUCGAGUACCCCUGAAGAGGUAUCUCGUUCCCAUCGAUUUUACAUGGUAUCUAGAGCCUCUUUCGUCAGGGAACUCAAGUAUGCCGCUCCCAUCAUCCUCCGCGGUGCCCGCUGCUACCUUUCUCGACCUGGGUUCAUCCCAGUGACCAAGAAACUCACCCGCAACAACUUCUAGUCAUGGAAGUCUCAAGUCAUCUCGGCAAUCAAGGGCACCUAGGCUGCGAAGUUCAUCCAGCCGAGGGCAAAACCCCCACUAGAGUUUCUGGCACCCAAGACUAAAGACGACAAGGAGCCACCGGUGUCAAAUCCUAAAUAUGACAUGGCCAAAGAUCAACAGGUUCUGAGCUACCUGCUGACCUCGCUCUCCAAAGAGAUCCUCAGCCAGGUCUCCACACAUGAAACAGCAUCGGCGGUCUGGACCACCAUAGAAGGCAUGUUCGCGUCCCAAUCAAGGGUGCGCAUCAUCGCCACAAGAAUGGCGUUGGCGACUGCCUCCAAGGGAUCUACCUCUAUCAGCGAGUACAUCGUGAAGAUGAAGGGUUUGGCUGACGACAUGGCAUCGCCAGGCAAAAAGAUUGAAGACGAGGAGCUGGUCUCCUACAUACUGACCGGAUUGGAUCUGGAUUAUGAUCCAGUGGUCCUCGGCGGUGGUGGCACGCGUCGAGCCCAUCUCCGUCUCCAAGCUAUUCACUCAGCUCAUCAGUCACGAACAAUAUAAAGGAGAAAUUUUUUGGAACUAAACAAGGCCUUGGUGGCCUGACAAACUUGUUGAACAGUUGUGUCCUUAUUUUUUACAAAGGAGAAGAGCUCUGGUAGCUUGUACUAAAAGAGAGACCAUUUCAAUUAUCAAGCCAGAAAAAAUAUGAGGACCCAUUUCCCAACAGUGGCCAUGGCCAUACCUUUAAAAGUAGGCAGGAGUUUCUCAACAUCACGCCACCAAAAAGAGCCUUUUCUAGUUAUCAUAGAAGGUUUUCCAUUUCCAUAAAGGUAUGUCCUCUGCUGGUAGGGCGAGCACCCCAAAGUAAAGCCUCUGAUUUAUAGGCCGUCAGAGGCGCUAUUUAGCGUCGUGCGGUCCUUUCUAAUGUGACUCCUAGAGUACUCACAAUACAGACUCUAUAAUAGAGUCUAAAGUUAUUUAUUACCUUGAACAAUAUUGACUUAGAGUCUAAAUGAGACUUAGAGUCUUAUUUUUUCAACAUAUUUCUUCAAUAAAUAUGCUGUCACAUCAGCAAAAUACUAUAAAUAAUAUGUAAUUAAUUGUCUUGGACUCUGUGAUAGAGUUUUGCAUUAUGAGUGUCUUUAUUUCUCUAUGGCUUAACAGCAGCAUGCGGUAAGAAGAAACAGUAAACUAUUAAGGCCAGUCUCAGUGGAGAGUUUCAUGGCGUUGUUUCCAAGACUGCCAUGUCAUAUGAAAUAAAAUGAAACUUGAAUGAAACACCCACUCUCAAUGGAGAGUUUCAUUUCAUAGUUUCAUAACCAUUUAAUUGCAAGUCUCAUAGAGAGUUGGUAAUCGUGCCAAGAGAGUUUCAUCUAGAUGAAACUCAUUUCUUCUCUCUCUUCUUAAAUACACUGUCAUGUCAUCAAAACAGCCUAUGUGGCAACCUAUUUAAUGCAAAUGAAACUCCCAUUGACACUAGCCUAACUAUUGAUUCAUAUCAGACGGCAUCACAUCUGUAAUUCCUUCUCCGUUUUCCGUGUGUUUUGUUACAGAACUCUAUGAAGUGCUCAGCUCUAAAAGACCCAUAGUACUGAGCCUCAACUAGUUAGGUUCCUUUUAGUGGAACUUAUCUACUUAGGUUUCAGUUCUUCACUAAACAUAGGUGUUUAUGGUUGGCGAUAUGACUUUAUAUCUCUUGACUCUCGGGAUGUACUAACACUUUACUUUGAAGAUCUUUGGUAGUUGUGGGCGUACGGGAAAGGGUAUAGAGAUGAGUGCGUACAACCGUACAUAUUUAUGCAUAUAUGUCUAUUAGAAAUUUAGAAUUCAGAGAAAAGACCACAGUUCUUCGCAAACAUGCAUAUGUGUGAUGAGUGACUCAGUAAACUAAGGCCGUCAUGAGUUAUGUUUGUUUGUGCUAAAUAUAUUCAUUAUUAAGCCUCUCAAUUUGAUUUCAUCAGAGUUUCAUGGACAGUAAAUAUGUUGAUCGAUAUGACACCAUAUUAAUGAAGAGAGAGAUAAUAAGAUUUUAAUUGGAGCGGAGAGAGUUUCGUGGGAUGAAAUCCUUCUACACUGUUUUCAAAAUAGGAUGAGUUGGAAACUAGGACAUGAAACCCUCCAUUGAGACUGGUCUUAGUGGUCACUGCAGUGGUGAACAAGACCCUAAUAUACAAACAAACAGGGAUUGAAAAGCACUAGCAGUAGAAACAAAUCUUCACACUAAUGGUUAAGUGAGAACCGCAUGUAGAAAUAUAUUGUUACAGACGGUUUACUAAGACAACCGCCAUUAUAAAAUAGAUUUCCACAGACAAUUCUCUUAGCCAACCGCCAGUGGAAAUAUUUUUAUAGAAAAUGCGAAAUCCGCAUGUAAAAAUCUAUUUUUACAGACGGUUUGUUAAGACAACUGCCAUUAGAAAAUAGAUUUCCAUAGACAAUUCUCUUAGCCAACAGCCAGUGAAAAUAUUUUUCUAGAAAAUACGAAAUCAGCUUUUAAAAAUAGAAAAAAACAUUUUAAUCCGAGGAAAGACCCAUUGGCUAGUCGCAAGUCACGCAAUUUUUUGCAUAAAACCAUGCAAUACGCGGCCGAUGGGAUUUGAAUUUGAGACCUUGCCCUCACCUAUAGCCUUCUCUACCACUACACCCAUCACUUAGUUGCUAUAUUAGAGUUUAGCUCCCAAAUAUUAUCCUAAAUCGAGCAUAUACAUUGAUUAUUUAAGGUCCUAAACGGAUUCAAAUGGAAAAGUUGUCAACUACAAAAUUUGAUAACUUUUCAAGGUCUACAACUUCUAUAUUUGUAGUUUCUCCAUCCAAGGUCAUUUAUAAAAUUUGAAUUUCAAAAUUGAGAAAUUCAAACAAAGUUUUGGAUGACAAAAUGAUCUCAAAUGAAAAAAUUAUGAACUACAAAGUUUCAUAACUUUUCGAGAUCUACAACUUUUAUUUUGGCAGUUUUUCCAAACGAGAUCAUUUGAAAAGCUUAAAAAAUUCAAUUUUCUACAGGUGGUUUUCUUAAAAAACGCCCAAAGAUAUUAUUUGAUAUGAUACAAUCUCAUACUCCAAGCUGGUUCUAUUAUAGAUACCUCUUGAACAAAGGAGAGUGAAUAUUGGCUAUGAUGGAGCAAUGACCAGUUUCAAAUCACGGCAUAACUCUUCAGAAAAGUAGCUAUGAAUGCAUACAUCUUUUUAGAAAAUGAAUGCAUACAACUUUUUAGGAUGGCUCAAUGCUACUUUUUUGCCAGCCGUUGGAGAAGAUGAGAAAUUGAGGAGGAGGCCCGAUGGCGAUUGUCAUGCUCGUGAGGUCAUCCGCAGCGAGAUGAUGUAUAAAAAUAAUAAAAAAGUAGCAUUGUAACACUCAAAAACUUGUUCAUUUUAAAAUAGGUGAAAAAUGGUUUAAUUUUGAAUUUUGUGCUCAUGAAAAUAUAAAAAAAAUAAUAUUUUUCGUCAAUUAAAAUUAAUCAUAGGGUGUAGCAAUAUUUUUGUGCACUCAUGCUUAUGCAUUUUUAGUUAUUUUUCUGAGUGGUUUUAUUAAAAUUCAAACAUAAUUCAAAAUGAUUUUUAAAACGGUUUUGAAAAUGGCUUUGGAAUAAAGGAAAUAGAAAAUAAAAAGACAAAACCCCUCCUCUCCCUCUUCCUUGCCUGAUGGCCCAAAUCCCCUCAUCCCCUCUCCGGCCCAAGCCAGCGCACGCGGCCCACUCCCCUCCCCGCAGCCCAGGCCAAACGGCCCAGACGCGCGCGCUUUCCUCUCUCUCUUUUCUUUUGGUUGACAACCGGGCCCCGUCCCUCCUCUCUCGCUGACGCUAGGGACCCACCGUGCAGCGCUCUCUUCUUCCUCUCGCCGUAAACGCGUAGGACACUACCGGGGGCAAAUCAAUUCCGUUUCCUUCGGGAUUUGCUUGCCAAAUCAGUUCACCAGCACCCUAUAUAACUUCGCAAUCUUCCUCGCGCCUCUCUUUUUCUUAGACACACGCCUGGGAAGCCCUAGCUCUCGACUUGGAUCUCACCAGAUAACCAAGCUCGCCGCCGCCGUGGCUCUUGCAAGUCGCGGGUGUUCGGCCAAAAUUGAGUUGUUGACGAGCUUCGUUUUGAGGUUGCGAACCUCCCUGCACUCCCCAUCCCCUUUUUAUUCCUCUCUGUGAUGUUCUAAUGCUCACCGAAUCAUGCAGAGACACCUCGAUCCGCUAUCCCUCGUGGCCGGUCCGCUACGAGCUCCCUCUGCGCGUAAUAAGCCCCCAGGUGAGUUCGUCUCGUUUCCCUCUUGCUCCCGGUGUUCUUCCCUUCGAAAACCGAGCUCCCUAUGCUAUUUUCCCUACCUCCGGCAAGCUUCGAGCCCCUCCGGCCAUGGAGCCGCCGUGCCGGGAACAAUGUUCCGGCCGGGGUAUCCUUUUUUACCCUCUCAGAUCUAAUCUGCGCCAUCUGUUUCGCGAUCAACGGCCGAGAUCUCAACAUACCCCUUCGCCUCGCACAUUUGCUAAAGAGACCCCGAAAAACUUUAGAUUAGAACCCGCCGUCCCUUGGCGUAUUAUCUGGUUUACGCUUUUCAAUUCGGAAAACGUAUUCUUCUCGGCUUAAAAGAAAAUACGCUUUCUAGUAUUUACUGGUUUUCUUUUGGCCAUAAAAUAUUCAUUUUAAUUCCGUUUUGACCCAUUCAAAUUGCGUUGGAUUCGUAGUAAUGAGCUCUACGUGUUAGAAAAACUAUAUACUCAGUUUGAAACUUUUAUUUUCGUGACCCUCAUUAAUUAAUUAUUUCUCUAUAUAAAAUCCUAGAAAAUUCAUAUCUUCUCCGUUUUAGCUUCGAUUUUCGUGAUCUUUUCGUCUGUGAGAUCGUAGCGAUGCGUAGAAUCAUUUUUAUAAACUUUUCUCACUGUUUUUAUAUGAUUGGUGUAUUGUUCUAAUUAUAGCUUUGUUUGCUUCGUGUAUGCUUUCUCCGAUUGUUUGUGUGAUCGAUGAUCGAGUUUAGACGGAGAGCAGUUUCGGUGAUCAAGAUCAAAGUUUUGGCAACAAGUGAGACCAGCAGGACCAAAAGGAUAAGCAAGAGCAUUUGGAUCAAGGCAAGUAUAGCAUUUGGAUUUUAAUUCUGUGACCAUGAUCCUGUGACUAGAUUAAUGUUAAGUAAUAAAUAAUAAAAAUGACUUUUAGCCACUUGAUGAUUUAUCUGUAAGUGAUAACCGGGACAACAGUGCAACCAUGAGGGCUAUAAUGGCUCUGGCUUUAGCUCAGUAUGAAGACCUUUUCUAGCUUGUUAGAGGUUACCCGAAAGGGCGGAGGAGCUGAACCGUUUUGCGUAUAGUGCGAGCCCCUGUCCUUAUGUGUAUAGGCUGCGCGUCAUUGUGCCAUUUAGAAGGGGGUAUCUAUAUCUACGGGCAAAGGAAACCUUGCGGCCCUAACAUGGUAGACGAACUUUUGAAAGGCUUCAUAGUGAUCCCUGCCGACCUUCCUUGGAAGUGGGUCAAGAAGCUGAUCACCUCGGGCGAAAGGGUAAAUCAUGACUCAUGGGUAAAGAUGUGCAACCUCUGCAGAGUGUUAAAAACUGGUAUACUAACCGUGCUCACGGUCAAGAGCGGCCUUGGGAAUUCUUGCAUUGACGAUGAUGAUUCUUGUGUGUUAUAUAUUUUCAUUAUUUAUUAUUUAAUGCUCUACAUUAUUUAUGUCAUAUUGAUCAUGAUAUUGUGGGAGCUAUACAAUCUAGUUGCUAUACUUGUUGAGUUCGACAUGGACUCACUCUUGCUAUUUCCCCCACACUUCAGGAGAUGUUUUAGGCUUGUGAUCAACCAGUCAGUUGGAUCCUGUAGAGAGAAGUUAAUACCCGAAGUUCGGAGCUGUCUAUCCAUUGUUUGCUAUCAAAGGUUAUAUCUUUUAUAUUAAGUAUGUUAUAUAUUUAUGCAUUGUCUUUUGAUAUUACCCUUUAUUUGUAGCUAUAUGUGAGAUUUGACUUCUAAAACUCACAUAUGGUGCGUAUCUGAUUUUAUCCUUAAAAUCGGGUAUUACAAGCACUCUCAUUGGCUAUCGAGGAGAGAGAUCAAAUAGCUAGCGACUCAUAAAUAGCUAAUCUAGCACGAUUUUCUAGAAAUAACUCUCUCACAAUACUCUCCACAAUAGCUAGUGUCUUCUUAAUAGCUAGUGACUUCCUAAGCUAGCUAUUUGCAAAUUGUUAUUAAGAGCCAAUAACAUUUUUCUUAAAAUCAAAUAGCUAGCAAUUGAAUACCAUUGCGGCAUCCCUCUCAAAGAACCUGUAAAGGCGGCAGCUUGAUAGCAGUAGGUGUAGUAAGUAGGAAGCACCAUCGCAACAACAACAGCAGGGGAACGAUCGACCAGGUGAGGCACUCCAAACUGCGGACGAUCGAGUUGUAUAUUUUGGGAAUAUUGGAGAGGAAUUGGAAGGACAUUAAUGCCAUUAAAAUGACAACUUCUAAUGCGUAAUCGCCAAGGUGGUUGCGCGUUCAGAGCUGGAUGCUGCAUGCAGCCAUUUCCAUUUCCUUGGGUGCAGAGGCGUGUGAAGGAAGACAGAUGGGGGACAAUGAAUGUGGCUAGGAAACUAAUCGAUGUGACUUGGGUCUUGUUUAGUUCCGAAAAGUGAAAAGUUUUCGGUACUGUACCAUUUCGUUUGUUUGUGACAAAUAUUAUCCUAUCAUAGACUAACUAGGAUCAAAAGAUUCGUCUCGUGAUUUACAGCUAAACUGUGUAAUUAGUUUUUGUUUUCGUUUAUAUUUAAUGUUUCAUGCAUGUGCCAUAAGAUUUGAUGUGACGGGAAAUCUUGAAAACUUUUCGGUUUUCAGAGUGAACUAAACAAGGCCUUGCUCAACAUUUACAAAAAGUCUAUACCGACAUAGCACGGUAUUUAUGAAGAGAGAGAUUAUAAAAGUUUUAUAGAAGUAGAAAAAGUUUCAUAUAAUAAUAAAAUUCUUCUAUACUAUUUUUAUAAAUAUAUAUGACCGUUGAAUUAAAAACUAGGACACACUAUCGGAGAGCCGGCCUUUGCCAUGUGUCCGUCUGUUUGCUGUUAGCAACACACGACAAAGACCGGGUUUGUCGUGUGCUCAGUCCACACACACAGUAAACGCCAAUCACAGUAUACCUGGAUUUUGUCGUGCGUUGCACACAGCAAACACCAGACACAUGGCCGUCAGAUUCAGUAUAUAUAUAUAUACUGAAUCUUUUUUACACGUACGAGUAAUUACACGCAUGCAAAGACACUCACGGGAAACGUCGGGGAAGGAAACGGAACGAAAACGUGGAGGGUGGGGUGCGGCGCGUUUGCUGUACACUAACGGGUUCAGAUCGAUAGCAUCUCAAUGGCCUGUUACGGGUGUGUUAUGUACGUGUAUUUUUUUAAGAGUACAUACGAUGGAUAAUGAUUAUUAAUCAUGGGAGGUGCACCUGGCCGUAUAUAUUUAUUAACGGAGGACAUUAGGGAUGCGGCCCGUUAGUGGAGAGAACAGGUUUGGAUACAAAAUCGGUUAAGUACUGCUACUCUGUUCGCUAAUUUCAAUGCCGUUUGAAUGUUACCAUACACGUCCAUGUUUUGUGGUGUGAGUUUGUUAGCAUAUUUCAAAUAAAAGUGGGUAUUAAAUUCUGUAUAAACUUAUAUGCUUGUGUGAUUAAAGUAUGGAUGCAUACUUUAAUAAAAAAAUGAAUAUAUAUUUGUAUACUUGUACUUGGGAGUAUAUCCUAUACUCAAGGAGUAUAUCUAUAUACUCAAGGAGUAAUUUAGUGUUUAUUAUAUCCGUAUACUUAUACUUGGGAGUAUGUCCAUAUACUCAGAGAUUAUUUUGUGUGAUUAAAGUAUGGAUGCAUACUUUAAUAAAAAAUGAAUAUAUAUUUGUAUACUUGUACUUGGGAGUAUAUCCUAUACUCAAGGAGUAUAUCUAUAUACUCAAGGAGUAAUUUAGUGUUUAUUAUAUCCGUAUACUUAUACUUGGGAGUAUGUCCAUAUACUCAGAGAUUAUUUUAGUGUUUAUUGUGAGUAUGGAUACAUACGUGUGGGUAGAGAACCAACAUGACAACCCUGUUUAUGGGCAUGGGUGUGUAUGAGUACAUACAUGUUAAGACUGAUAUGAGUACAUACUUGAUGUGAUAACCUGUUCAUGUGGCGUAUGUGUUUAUUAGGAGUAUGAGGAGUAUGAAUAUAUACAUAUCAUAUUGUGAGUACAUACAUGUUAAGCAAGAGUAUGCAUACAUACUUGUAAAUUUGAAAAGUGCAUCCAACAUUCGAUCAAAGUUUAUAUUUUUUCCAAACGGAAAUAAGAAACUAUAUAUUUUUUUGUAAUCAUAUAUAGUUUCUCUUCUAAAUCACGUAUAAACGAGUGAGUUUCAUUUAUAAGAAACUACGUUCCAAAAUGAUCCGGUAUAUUGUUCUGAUAAAUGAAGAGGUAUGGUAUAUUCUUCUGGUAACUUGCCUUCGGGAAACGCUUUGUCGUGACAGCUCUACACGCCAUGACAUUGGUGAGAACGCUAGAAGAUGAACUCACGUACCAGCAGCAUGCAAGGUCAAAAACGAAAUCUGCAUCUAUCACCUCGCGAGUCUGUCUGAUCUGCAAUCUGCAAAGAUAUUAAAUUGAAAUUAACAAAUCGACAACAAGAAGAAGGAUUAGUGGAUGGAGAUCAGGUUUGUACUUAUAUUUUGUUGGUCGGGAGGACCGCCGGCCAACGCCCGGCGGGCAGCACGACGACGUGAGCGCUUUUGGAUAGACAACAUGCGUGUGCAGAUCUGCAUGGUAGGAGGCGGCCGGCCAUGGUCACCAGGCACAAGGAGAUCGAGAAACGUAUCAAGAUAAGAGGAUCUAGCAACAAGAUCAAUGGAAUCAAUAGUAUCUAGAUCGAUCUACUAUAUACGAGAAGAUUAGAUUUUAGGAUAAACAUAUUGAUCACGAACAGGAAAGAUUGGGACGGUCUCAACAAACCAGAUGAAUCAAAAUAUCGUGCCGCCGCCACCGUCGCCGAAUAUCCUAUUGCCUCUAGACGCCAUAAAUGACGGUAAAAUCUCUUAUAUAGGAUGGAUAUUAACGGGUUAGUUUGUUUUGACCCGCUUCCGAGAUGAGGACUGACUUCACAACUCCGUCAUCGGCCCGUUACAUACGACGACGCGCAUGGGACUGGCUGAACUUCGCGUGCGUGUACUAACCAUCGGAGUAGCUACACGUCGAUGUAAAAAGGAAUUACCCCCUCUCUCUCUCUCUAUAUAUAUAUAUAUAUCCUACUACUAAAAAGCCUCAAAAUAAAUCGUCGACCCGGUCAAUUCGCUCGCCUGCACCAUGCGCUGCGCUGCACCAUGCGUCGCUUAAACUCUUGGGCCGUAUUUCCCAUAGGCUCUCACUCCAAGGCUGCCAGGCUCCUUGCGACCACUAGAAUAGGGAGAGAGAUGGAGAGCAGUCAAACAUGCCCACGCCUGCAAUACUUUGAAAGAGCAGCCUAAGCACCGAGAAAUGUAUUUAAAAAAUAUUGUUCAAACAUGAACUAAGUAAAUUUAAAAAUUUUGUCUCAUAAAUUACAAGUACAUUGUGUAAUUAGUUAUUUCUUUCAUUUCACAAAUUACAGAUUAACUGUACAAUUAGUUUUUAUUUUCUUCUAUAUUUAAAUACUCCAUGUAUGGGACCAAAAAUUCGAUGCGACAAAAAAUCUUAAAAAUUAUUACGAAGUAAACAAGGCAGGUCUGCGCAUGCCAGCCAUGGACAGCGGCAAGUCAUGCAGGCUAUGCAUGCCGGUCAGCAUGUGCCUAGGCUAGGCCUAGGGACUAGGUAGUGGAGUGGAUACUGUAUAUAGGGAGUGCAAUAAAAAUAUGAUUAGAAUACAAAAGCGUGCAAGGCCUUGUUAAGUUCUGAUUUUUUUUAUUUCGUUACUUUAAUAUUUUCAUUUUUAUUUGAAAAUAUUAUCUAAUCAUGGACUAACUGCGCUCAAAAGAUUCAUCUCGUGAUUUACACGUAAACUGUGCAAUUAGUUUUUGCUUUUAUCUAUAUUUAAUGCUAGAUGUAUGUGGCGUUAGAUUUGAUGUGACGGAUAAUUUUGAAAAGUUUUUGGUUUUCAGGGUGAACUAACUUGUUUAGAUCCAAAAAGUUUUUGGAUUUCGAUACUGUAACACGUUUACCUGAAAACCAAAAUACCACGUUAACAUAUGUAGCAUUUCUGAAAAGUUUUUGGUUUUCAGGGUAAAUAUUGUCCAAUCAUGAAAUAAUAAGGUUUAAAAGAUUCGACUCACGAUUUACAGAUAAACAUACAAUUAGUUUUUAUUUUUAUCUAUAUUUAGUGCUCCAUAUAUGUGCCGUAGAUUCAAUGUGAUAGGAAAUCUUGAAAAAAAUUUAGUUUUUGGGUGAACUAAAUAAGACCUAAACAAGGCCUAGGCCUUGUCUCUCAUGGAUGGCAUUGCUGGAAGAGGACGAGGAGCACAACACGGAGCAGGGAGGGAAGCAUAGCAGUGUCACUGGGGAAGUGACGGGGGCGGCAAGCCCAACGCGGCAACGCCUAGAGAGCAUAGCAGGGAGAGCACUCGAGUAGAUGGGAGAUUUUGAUGAGAUUUGUAGAGAGGCAGGAUUGGUGGAAUUUUUUAGGCCCUGUUUAGAUUGGACAUAAAAUUUUUUUGAUGUCACAUGAUUGUGUUGGAAGAAUGUCGGAAGGAGUUUUUAUAAACUAAUAAAAAAACAAAUUACAUAGCUCGUUAGGAAACUGCAAGACAAAUCUAUUAAGCAUAAUUAAUCUGUCAUUAGCACAUGUGGGUUACUGUAGCACUUAAGGCUAAUCAUGAAGUAAUUAGGCUUAAAAGAUUCGUCUCGCGAUUUUCAACCAAAAUGUGUAAUUAGUUUAUUUUUUUAUGUAUAUUUAAUGUUCCAUGCAUGUGUCCAAAGAUUCGAUGGGAUGUGUGGAAUUUUGGGUGGGAAACUAAACAUGGCCUUACUUCGACCAUGGCCGUCUUAUCUCACCUCAGAAUUAAUGCGGUUCUAAUUCUUUUUAUUAUCUCUUUCUGUUAGGCCAAAUAAACUCACCUCCAUUAUAAAAAAAUAAUAUACAAUAAUAAUCAAAGCGAAAAUUCCUACAAGUUUAAGAGGAAGCAGUUUUCUAUUAGACUCACCUUUGCCAUGACAAUUAACAAGGCGCAAGGGCAAACUAUCCCUAAUGCUGGUGUGUAUUUGCCUGAACCAGUAUUCUCACAUGAUCAGUUGUAUGUUGCGCUAUUUAGAGCCACUGCUAGAUCGAACAUUAAGAUCCUUGCCAUCCCACCCAUUGAUAAGAAGAAUACGAAAAGGAAGACAAAAAUAAAUGAUAAAUACACGAAAAAUAUUUUCUACAAAGAGGUUCUCACUUCAUGAUAAUGUAUUUGUCUUCUGUUUUGCAGAGCUGUUAUAUUCUUAUAUUUAUGUCCUUAGAUAUUGACGUAUUGUAUACAUCUGAAUUUUAGAUAAUAAUAGAGGAAGUCAGAAAGAAAUUAGAGACAAGUAGCUAUGACUUACUCACGUGUUAUUGAUGUUUUAGUUUCGCAAUCAAAUUUAGAGUUAUAUUUUAGUUAUCUAUCUUUCUUAAAGAUUUAUGUAAUAUGGUUGGUAUCAACAUUAUAAAACACUCUCAUAUAUAUGUUAUUGUGGUAUUUAGUAUUCCCGUUGCAACUCACGGGCACUUAACUAGUAUAUAUAUAUAUAUAUAUAUAUAUAUAUAUAUAUAUAUAUAUAUAUAUAUAUAUAUAUAUAUAUAUAUAUAUAUAUAUAUAUGAAAAUUCCUUUCUACACGCACGAGUAUCUACUCCGACGUAGCUACACGCGUGAAUUCUUCCCUCUCGUGUAUAUCCCGCAGCACAUAGCUAACGGGUGGCGUCGGGGCGUGCGGCCCAUUUCCGAGCUAACGGGUUUGAAGCACGAGUAUGCGGAUCGCUCGCAUGUAUCCAAGAUCUACGCGAACUAGCCGGCACAUGCAUGUGUACAGGAUGUACACGAAUAUUAUUAUUAUUUAAUAAAUGAUUAGGGGAGCGCCUCUAUAGGAAAAUUCCUUUCUACACGCACGAGUAUCUUCUCCGACGUAGCUACACGCGUGAAUUCUUCCCUCUCGUAUAUCCCGCAGCACAUAGCUAACGGGUGGCGUCGGGGCGUGCGGCCCAUUUCCGAGCUAACGGGUUUGAAGCACGAGUAUGCGGAUCGCUCGCAUGUAUCCAAGAUCUACGCGAACUAGCCGGCACAUGCAUGUGUACAGGAUGUACACGAAUAUUAUUAUUAUUUAAUAAAUGAUUAGGGGAGCGCCUAGCCAGAUAAGUAUUAAAAAAAACGUUCAAUUGUUCACAGACGUUCUUUUCUGCAAGUAAAGUAUGAACGCAUACUUUAAUAAAAAAAAUUGAGUAUACUCGAGUAUGAACGCAUACUAUUUAAUAAGAAAAAUUGAGUAUACUUUAAUAGAGUAUGGACGCAUACUUGUAGAGUAUGUCUAUAUACUCAGAGAAUUACUUUAGUAUUUAUCUUAUAGAGUAUGUAUUUUUAUUGAUAUUUUUUUCGAGACAAAAAUUGGUACGUUUAUGGGGAACUUUUUUUACUCUGCUAAAAAAAGUUUCCUACAAAUGUACCAAUGUUUGUCCUCGAAAAAAAAUCGGUGAAAAUACAUACUCUAUAAGAUAAACACUAAAGUAAUCCUCUGAGUAUAUGGACAUACUCGAAAUACAAGUAUGCGUCCAUACUCUAUUAAAGUAUACUCAAUUUUUCUUAUUAAAGUAUAUGUUCAUACUCGAGUAUAGUCAAUUUUCUUAUUAAAGUAUGCGUUCAUACUUUGCAGAAAAGAACGUUUGUGAACAAUUGAACUUUUUUUUCGUAAUACUUAUCCGGCUAGGAGCUCCCCUAAUCAUUUAUUAAAUAAUAAUAAUAUUCGCGUACAUCCUGUAUACAUCGCGUAGAUCUUGUUGGAUACAUGCCAGCGAUCCUCAUACUCGUGCUUCGAACCCGUUAGUUCGGUAAUGGGCCGCACCCCCGACGCCACCCGUUAGCUACGUCUGCGGGAUGGCUCGAGCCCUCGGAUGCGUAUAAUAAAGACUCGGAGUAGUUACUCGUACGUGUAAAUAAAACGUGUCAUAUAUAUAUAUAUAUAUAUAUAUAUAUAUAUAUAUAUAUAUAUAUAUAUAUAUAUAUACACACACACCGUAUAUAGAUAUAGAUACCCGGCUGCUUCAACGUACAUAAUUAAGUGUACAUUAUCGAACCGGACAACCGGCUGCCAACAACGUUCACGUCUGAUUGCAAUUGCAAUGUUGUUGCUUUGUGGUCGUUGUCACUUGGCUCGUCCCCAUCAACUUCCAAGUGUGCCAUAUCAUGCGCUAGCUGAUGCGUAAUAUAGUCCAUAUGCAUUAUAUAUUUAUAUUGAUCGGUCGACCGUACUCUUUUUUUUUUUAGUUUUAUUUGCGAAACAAUCGAUCGGCCGCCGAUGCAUGAUUUCUAUCUAGUAUAAGUCAAGAACACUGGCGUUUAGGUAAACUUGAAAGUAACACUAACUAUUACUUAGUGAAUGUCAAUAUCAUUGUUUUGGCAGAGCGAAUGAUAUGAUGCCUCGUAAUAUGCAUUGUUAAUUCAUGAUAUGAUAUGAUAUGAUAUGAUAUGAUAUGAUAUGAUAUAUAUAUAUAUAUAUAUAUAUAUAUAUAUAUAUGCUCCGCCUCUAGAUAGACACACGGCAGCAAUAUGAUUCGACUGAGAUGGUAUCUUUCGAUUUUGAAUUCAGGAUCUUCUUCAGGGGCCUCACUCUGUUUCUUUGCUACCUACCACUGCGUGCUUGUCUAAUUUUUAGUUGAUGUCGUUUUAAACUAGUAGCAAGAAGAAGUUAUCCUAGCUCCCAGAUUAUAUGGGGAUCUAAUCUACCUCGGAUUUCGUCGCUAGCUAGCUCUUGUUUUUUUUUUCUUAGGUAUCCUGCCCUUUUUCAUAUGUAUCGUAUCGUCUUGCCUGCUUAUUAAUCGAUUAUAUUAUCUUAUUACUAUAAGGUAGUAUUAGGACAUGCUAAACAGUGUGAGAUAGUUACCGGAAUAAUAUUAACUUUUAGCACAUAAUUCAUAAUUAAUAUAAAUAGCUCCACAUGACAACUUCACGUGAUUUUGGAGAGUGUGAGAAUGAGAUUAUAGUUCUUGGCCAAGAGAUAGCUUUUUUACUCUCUUUUAUUAAAAUAUACUAUUAAUGCUAGCUCAAAAGUCACUAUGAAAGAAGCCACAAGAGUCCCUAGAUAUUAUAUCAUAUUUAUAUCUGAUCUCUAAUACAAAGAGCAAAAAUUUUCUUUUUCAAAAUUUCCGGCAUUCACUCUCUUCCGAGUUUGUCAUCCCCUCCACUCACUCAAGCAUAAGAGUCAUGUCCAGUUUUAUUAAAAAUAGUAAUACAUGACAAAUUAGAGAUAAGAAUCCUAAUGUAAUUAGUUUGUUGUCUAGUUCAUGACCUAAACCCGUUGCCACCGCACGUCACUCUCUCCCAUCCUCAUCUCACUUUUGCUAUCCCCACACGCCUCCAAUCGAAAGGCAUCACGAUCCAAUUCCAUCACGAGAGUACAAGAACAUGGUUUAAACAAUGUAUAUAUUUCUAGCCACGGUACGAAGUUCAAUUCCAAGAUGUAUUAUAUUAGAUGAAUAAUCGUCGCAUAAACCUCUAAGCCGUAAGUCGUCUAGGUGAACAUAUAAUAAGUUGUAUGCUCUGUGGCAACAUGAGCAUAUUUACUAGUAAUAACAAGUUAACCAUGAUAUAUGCAGAGGAGGCCACGUCAUGCUGUUUAUAUUUGUAACAUAGCAUUUCUCCUUGUUUAGUAGGGUUUUGUUGCGAACUACUUCACCCAAUAAGCCAGAGAAACAAGAGAAAGCCAUGUUGGUGUGCUCGCGCCCUUCUAGUACCACUACCAGAAAAAAGUUUCUCUUUGUCAGCGAGAUCACAAUCACCCCCCGUCAGCGCCAAGGAAUGAAGCUCGAGAGGCAUGCGCAACAUGUGCCAAAAGCUUCCUAGCGAGCACACAUGUGACCGCAAGUCUGGCCUGAGCACAAAGGUUGCACUCAUCGGACUCAUGUAGUCCAUGGCACCGCCUCCGGUUAGCCAUCCGCAGAUGGCAAUGCAAUGCCAACCAGAAGAAUAGCUUGACUUUGGGAGGGUGCCUGAGCACAAAGGUUGCACUCAUCGCGCCAAGAAGAUGAUGAUCCAAUGAAGAAAGCCGUGCAUGUAUGCUGAUGAAGCAGCGUAUUUGCUGUUUGGUGACCAUUUACACACAAAUCGGUCGAAUUGAGGUGUGGUCACAGCUAAAACGGAUCAAAUACUGACGGAUAUCAUUAAUAUUAUAUUUGUUUUCGUAUUUUUUUGUCGGAUUCAGAUUCGAAUACAGGUAUUGUCAGCCGUGCCAAAAAAGAUACGAUUGGAUGUCAAUAUCAUAAAUAUGUAAUUUCAGUAUUCGGAUAUAGAUACAGUAUAGGAUUUGAAUAUCUAAACUCAUAUAUAUAUAUAUAUAUAUAUAACGUGUACAAAUUGUCUCAUAUAUAAUUGGACCGGAUAUAUAGCUAAUUAAGGUUGCGGUGAUAUGAUGUUGCGCGCGUAUGGGUAGCUGCUAGUAGCUAGUAUCAUCGAUCUUUUGUCACUUUCCAAAGAAACAAAGGUCUCACUUGCCAUAUCCAGGCCGGGUCGCUCCUCCCUUGCCACGCUGUUCUUCCGAUCCCUUGCCUUGCCACGCGCUGCUCUUCCUUUCCCGCAAGUCCUAUCUCUGAUGCCGCCUUUGUUCCUCGAUCCACCGCCUAUCGCACGUACCAGCAGGCCAAACCGAGCCCUCAAUCUCUGACCGGCUGCCGGCCAUGCAUCCCUGGCAGCCUGACAAAUGAUGGCCGACGAGAGAUGCAAAGGAAAAAAGAAAAUCUAUGUCCAUUAUUCAGACACGGAGAUAUGCAUCCAAAUAUGCUGUGCUGUGGUACGGUGCACUAGUUUUUUAGAGAGAAUUAUUGUUUAGAGGCCUCUAAAUAAAACCUGGUGUUUGGAGUUUUUUUUACAGUCUCUUGGAGAUGCUCUAAGGGACAUAUUUUUGUGAGGCAGCACGAACUUGUCCAUAAAUCAUUCAAGGUUGAAAACAGGCGAUGCAUGCACGAGCACACUUCUAUAUAAAAGUGGUUCCAUUCAUUGUAUCAUGUGUUCCUGAUAAUUUUAAGACCGCGCUAAGUCUGUCUAGAGACGGAGAGGAGUAGCAUUUCAUGGUCGUGGUCCUCUAUGUCUAUCUGCAACCUUUUCUGAAUAAACUACAGUCCAAAAAGAUGCCUUAUUCUUGGUGCAAUCACCACCAGGUUUUCUGGCUAUAUAAAAGGCCACCACCGGGGCAAAGAAACCCAGCUACGACAUCGUUCAAUUCAGUAGCAAGGUAGCUAGCUAGCCAGCCAGGGGAAGCGUAUUGUGAUAUGGCUGACGCUCAAGGCCACUACGAUCAGAUUGAGGAGCUGGUGCCGGCGAAUUCCAAGUCUCCUCCACAGGUGGCCCUAGUGGUCUCUAUCCUGCUCGUCUGUCCUCUGCUCGUCCUCCUCCUGCGCCGCCUCUUUGGAACGACGACGACGACGCCAUCGACGGCCAGAGAACAGCUGCUGAGCAAGCUGCCUUCGCCUCCAAGCAGGCUCCCCAUCGUCGGCCACCUGCACCUCGUCGGCCCCCUACCGCACAUCUCUCUCCGCGACCUCUCUACCAAGCAUGGCCGUGAUGGCCUCAUGCUCCUCCACCUCGGCGCCGUCCCUAC
rnacentral:lncRNA from 1 species